GAGCAUCAGACCUUGUGUUAUCUGCGGUGAGGCUCACAAGGUUAUUGAGUGCCCACAGCGCCACAAUCACUGUUACAGGUGUGGCCAACGUGGACAUCUUCGGGCAGAUUGCACCAGUGGAGCAGGUACAGCAUCUGCAGCAGCAUCUACUCCAGCAGCUCCAUGGCAGGAUCGUGGCAAUUCGACCUAUUCUUCGGCUGGACGCCCAUCGCCAUCCCGUCAAGUGAAGGAGGUACACCAGACCACUGACGGACGCGCCUUCAUGAUGACACGUCAGGAGGAUGAUCAGUCGGCUGACGUCGCCGCAGGUGACAGAGACGAGGAGUUGGAUUUUGAGCUCGACGAGAGGACGAUCUAGUUAGACGGCAGUAGCGACCGUCACCCUGGUUAUUUCUUUCCCGCUCUUAGUAGUUUUCUUAAUAAAUGGUUCAGUUAGAUGUUUGAAUGUGGUGAUUUUCGUUAUGCAUGAGAUUAUGGAUGUUUUAUUAUACAUGAGAUUGGAGUUUUCGAUCUGUGGUUUUGGUUCUGUGGA